rnacentral:sRNA from 1 species
CGGCUGAACUGCUGGCGCCGUACACGGGCGAUGUUGUUGCUGAAGGCUUUAGUAAAGUCUUCCGCGGCGGCGCUCGUUUUUUUCUUCAUGGCGUUCAACGCCAGCAGCACUAUAUUGCAGAGGCGAUUACCGAAGAGUGGCGCCUGGCGCCGGGCCCGCUGGAACUGGCCUGGUUUGCUGAGGAAAGCGAUGCGGUAGAACGAGAGCUGGCCGUGCUGGAAAAACGGCUGGAAACGCUGGAGGGCAAAUGA